UCGAAAACAUCCAUAUUGUCAUGUCUCUUCGAAUUAGGUUGAAUCGAAACUGCCAACACUGUGAGUUGAUUCUAGUUUGUUUCUUCAUAAUUUGGAGAGAAAAUGGCGACAUAGAUGUUUUCGG
rnacentral:pre_miRNA from 1 species